UAGCUUGAUUGGUAAAGAAUCUGCCUGCAAUGCAGGAGACCUGGGUUCAAUUCCUGG
rnacentral:tRNA from 1 species